rnacentral:rRNA from 1 species
ACUCAAAGGAAUAGACGGGGGCCCGCACAAGCGGCGGAGCGCGUUGCUUAAUUCGAUGCGAAGCGAAGAACCUUACCCAGGCUUGACAUGCGGGAAGUAGGCGCGUGAAAGCGUGUCCGAACCGUAAAGUCGGUUACCCGUGCAGGUGUUGCAUGGCUGUCGUCAGCUCGUGCCGUGAGGUGUUGGCUUAAGUGCCGCAACGAGCGCAACCCCCGUCACAUGUUGCCAGCGGGUAAAGCCGGGCACUCAUGUGAGACUGCCGGGGAAACCCCGGAGGAAGGAGGGGAUGACGUCAAGUCAGCAUGGCCCUUACGCCUGGGGCUGCAAACGCGCUACAAUGCGCACCACAACGGGCUGCGAGCCCGCAAGGGGGAGCGAAUCCCGAAAAAGUGCGCCCAGUUCGGAUCGGGGUCUGCAACUCGACCCCGUGAAGUUGGAGUCGCUAGUAAUGGCAGAUCAGCACGCUGCCGUGAAUGCGUUCCCGGGCCUUGCACACACCGCCCGU